rnacentral:lncRNA from 1 species
AUGGUUAGGACGAUGGCACGAACUUUGUACAUCUGUAUUCUCUUAGUAACCACAACAACAUCAGUCACCAUAACUCCCUUAAAUAAUACUGUCAUUUUCGAGAGGCAGGGAGAUCUAGUUUUAGCUAGCCACAUUUGGUCGGUAGAUGUCCUCUUUAAUAUUUCAAAAAUUAAGGAAGAGAAAGUAGAAUUAAUGAUAAAUGUUGAUCAGCUAAGAAAAUCUGUCUUACAAUAUGAUGAUCAAAGCGAGAAUAAGGGGAGAUUUGGUGCCUUGUUACAGUCUCUACAGCAAUCGAUCACGGGAGUAGAUAAAGGUAUCCAGUCCUUAAUUACGUUAGGAACUAGUAAGCGUAGGUAUAAAAGAUCUUUUAAUACCGGUGGAAAAAUAAUUAAAUUUCUGUUUGGCAAUCCUGAUCACGAGGAUAGAAAGCAACUCUUCAAGUCUAUCAAUAAUUUAAAUUUUGAGGAGGAGCAAAUGAAAAUUGAAGAGAAAAAUUUAAGGCUUAAAAUUACUAACACCGAAGGGACUCUAACGAGUGCACUUAGUCUUCUCAAAGAUAUGGGUAGAAAUAUAACGACUUUUAAUUCAGAAUUUCAGGACCGAGUUAACGAAAACUUUCAAAACAUUUCUAUCAAUCUUCAUAAGUUAAAACAUGAAAAUAUAAUAGAACUAGAACUAUCAGCUUUGAUCUAUUAUUUGUUAGAAGUUCAAACAGCAAUCAAUCAAAUUUAUGAGUCGAUACAAACUUCAUUGAAUCAUAAAUUAUCUCCAAAUUUAAUCGGUCCAGAAGUCCUCGAGAAAAUUUUGUCGACAAUAGAGAAAAGUUUGCCCGGGUCUCUUAAAUUAAUAGAUUUUGGUGAGAAUAUGUUACAACAAUACUUUCAUUUAAUAUCUGUAAAUACCAUAUGUAAAGGUGGAGAAUUAAUUUUUAGUCUAAAAAUACCAAUUGCGAAUGUAAAUAGCGUACUUGAAUUAUUUAAAAUUGUUCCUGUACCACAGUUCGUGGAAGGAACUAAUUUAUCUGUUUCUUGGGAAUGUGCCCCAUAUUUUGUAAUUAAUUCACAGAGAGAACUUUAUGCAACAAUGAGCGAAGAGCAAAUACUUCAAUGUAAUGAUCUAGGAUUAAUCGUCUGUAAGUUGGAAUUGCCUUUAGCAACCGCAAGCGAUCCGACUUGCGAAUACUCAAUGUUGAUGGAGGAAGACGGAAAAUUAUGUGAUAGGUCUGUUAAAAUAGGUAAUACUAAAUUAAUUACGCGAUUAAACAUCGGAUGGUUAUUAUCGGUCAGGCAAGAAGUUAGCCUCACGUUUUCUUGUUUGGGUAAAGGAUCAGAAACUAAAAUCUUACGAAACAAUGUAAUUUUGAGUGACGUCUCGCAAUGUGAGAUAACCAGUAAAUUUUUCAAAAUACCAUCUACUUUUGGUCAAAAUGAGUCUAUGAAUUUGGAGUAUGAUGGGCUUAAGAUCCCAAAUUUAAGUAUAUUUGAUGACAUUGUGAAUUUUAAUAUUAGUGAAAUUUUGUUACAAAGUAAUUUAAGCACCGAAAUAGAAGGGUUAAUUAAGCAGAACGCAAAUCAGUUGUCCUUUGAAAAAUUUUAUGAAACCAUAACAGACAGAAUGAACACUCCUGUAUUUAAAAAGGAACACUUUGCCUUUGGGUUUACCUUCUUUUUAUUUAUUUUAUGUGCUACAGCACUACUCCUUUUGUAUCUGAAGAUAAGGAACUUUUCAGCGAUUAAGGUGACGAACGCGGCUUCUUCGCGAGUAUGCCGGGAGGCCACGAUUAAUUAG